rnacentral:rRNA from 1 species
UACGGGGGGGGCAAGCGUUGUUCGGAAUUACUGGGCGUAAAGGGCUCGUAGGUGGCCAACUAAGUCAGACGUGAAAUCCCUCGGCUUAACCGGGGAACUGCGUCUGAUACUGGAUGGCUUGAGUUUGGGAGAGGGACGCGGAAUUCCAGGUGUAGCGGUGAAAUGCGUAGAUAUCUGGAGGAACACCGGUGGCGAAGGCGGCGUCCUGGACCAACACUGACACUGAGGCGCGAAAGCUAGGGGAGCAAACGGG